rnacentral:lncRNA from 14 species
AAAUGCUGUCUUCAGUAUCCUGCUGUGAGGAGGGGGGGAAGCUGUCAGCGCCGGCAGUCUGGAGGCUGCUCUGGAGGGUGUUCAGCUGUACCUGGAAUUUCCAAGCCUUCCUGUAUUGCACAGCGUUUUUGGGACACAUCUCUGUUGGAUUUUAAUAUAUGUCGUGCUAACAACAGCUUUCAACUAUGGAAUCGACAUGAAUGACUUCAAAGCCUCCGUGAAUGUACUGGCGCAUGGCAAGUGAGACUUCA